CCCCACACAUGUGCCCCACACAUGUGCCCCAGAGAUGUGCCCCAGAGAUGUGCCCCACACACAAUGUGACCCAUAGAUGUACCCCACACAUGUGCCCCACACAUGUGCCCCAUAGAUGUGCCCCAUAGAUGUGCCCCACAGAUGAUGUGCCCCACACAUGUGCCCCACACAUGUGCCCCAUAGAUGAUGUGCCCCACACAUGUGCCCCAGAGAUGAUGUGCCCCACACGAUGUGCCCCACACAUGAUGUGCCCCACACAUGAUGUGCCCCACACAUGUGCCCCAUAGAUGUGCCCCACACAUGUGCCCCACAGAUGAUGUGCCCCAUAGAUGUGCCCCACACAUGUGCCCCACACAUGUGCCCCAGAGAUGUGCCCCAGAGAUGUGCCCCACACACAAUGUGACCCAUA
rnacentral:lncRNA from 1 species